rnacentral:rRNA from 1 species
UGAGACACGGUCCAAACUCCUACGGGAGGCAGCAGUGAGGAAUAUUGGUCAAUGGGCGAGAGCCUGAACCAGCCAAGUAGCGUGCAGGAUGACGGCCCUAUGGGUUGUAAACUGCUUUUAUGUGGGGAUAAAGUGAGCUACGUGUAGUUUAUUGCAGGUACCACAUGAAUAAGGACCGGCUAAUUCCGUGCCAGCAGCCGCGGUAAUACGGAAGGUCCAGGCGUUAUCCGGAUUUAUUGGGUUUAAAGGGAGCGUAGGCCGUGGAUUAAGCGUGUUGUGAAAUGUAGACGCUCAACGUCUGAAUUGCAGCGCGAACUGGUUCACUUGAGUAUGCACAACGUAGGCGGAAUUCGUCGUGUAGCGGUGAAAUGCUUAGAUAUGACGAAGAACUCCGAUUGCGAAGGCAGCUUACGGGAGCACAACUGACGCUGAAGCUCGAAGGUGCGGGUAUCAAACAGGAUUAGAUACCCUGGUAGUCCGCACAGUAAACGAUGGAUGCCCGCUGUUGGUCCAUUAGGGUCAGCGGCCAAGCGAAAGCAUUAAGCAUCCCACCUGGGGAGUACGCCGGCAACGGUGAAACUCAAAGGAAUUGACGGGGGCCCGCACAAGCGGAGGAACAUGUGGUUUAAUUCGAUGAUACGCGAGGAACCUUACCCGGGCUUGAAUUGCAGAGGAAGGAUUUAGAGAUAAUGACGCCCUUCGGGGUCUCUGUGAAGGUGCUGCAUGGUUGUCGUCAGCUCGUGCCGUGAGGUGUCGGCUUAAGUGCCAUAACGAGCGCAACCCCUUUUCUUAGUUGCCAUCAGGUAAUGCUGGGCACUCUGGGAAUACUGCCACCGUAAGGUGUGAGGAAGGUGGGGAUGACGUCAAAUCAGCACGGCCCUUACGUCCGGGGCUACACACGUGUUACAAUGGGGGGUACAGAAGGCCGCUACCCGGCGACGGGAUGCUAAUCUUUAAAACCUCUCUCAGUUCGGAUCGGAGUCUGCAACCCGACUCCGUGAAGCUGGAUUCGCUAGUAAUCGCGCAUCAGCCAUGGCGCGGUGAAUACGUUCCCGGGCCUUGUACACACCGCCCGUCAAGCCAUGGGAGUCUGGAGUACCUAAAGUCCGUAACCGCAAGGGUCGGCCUAGGGUAAUACAGGUGACUGGGGCUAAGUCGUAACAAGGUAGCCGUACCGGAAGGUGCGGCUG